UGGGGAAUAUUGCACAAUGGGCGCAAGCCUGAUGCAGCCAUGCCGCGUGUAUGAAGAAGGCCUUCGGGUUGUAAAGUACUUUCAGCGGGGAGGAAGGGAGUAAAGUUAAUACCUUUGCUCAUUGACGUUACCCGCAGAAGAAGCACCGGCUAACUCCGUGCCAGCAGCCGCGGUAAUACGGAGGGUGCAAGCGUUAAUCAGAAUUACUGGGCGUAAAGCGCACGCAGGCGGUCUGUCAAGUCGGAUGUGAAAUCCCCGGGCUCAACCUGGGAACUGCAUUCGAAACUGGCAGGCUAGAGUCUUGUAGAGGGGGGUAGAAUUCCAGGUGUAGCGGUGAAAUGCGUAGAGAUCUGGAGGAAUACCGGUGGCGAAGGCGGCCCCCUGGACAAAGACUGACGCUCAGGUGCGAAAGCGUGGGGAGCAAACAGG
rnacentral:rRNA from 1 species